GCUCUCAGACCUGAAGUCCAGUUAGGAAGAGGUUCGAUGGCUGGCUGCCUUGCAGGGGAAGGCCUCAGAGAGGGAGCAAAAUGUCACUGGGCCCAAAAGUGUGAUGAGGACUUCCGCAACUUUUCAUAAGCACCAGGUGCCUAGGACUUGGGGGACGAUGAGUUUCCAUGCAUGGUGAUGGAGAGAAUGUUUGCGUUGCUGUUGGAAAACCUGUACCCUGAUCCUCGCUCUACCACCAGCUCAUGGUACGACCUUGCUUCCUUAAGCUCAUGUGUGAAAUGCAGAAGUUAGACUAGGCUGCCUUCCAGAUUUCACCAGAAGCUGCUCACACCACUUCUCCCAUUAGGACCACUGACUGGAAUAUCUGCUCGCCCAACGGCUGGCCCUGUACUGGCGCUGGAUGUAGAGCCCCCA